AGCGAACGCUGGCGGCAGGCUUAACACAUGCAAGUCGAGCGGGCGUAGCAAUACGUCAGCGGCAGACGGGUGAGUAACGCGUGGGAACAUACCUUUUGGUUCGGAACAACACAGGGAAACUUGUGCUAAUACCGGAUAAGCCCUUACGGGGAAAGAUUUAUCGCCGAAAGAUUGGCCCGCGUCUGAUUAGCUAGUUGGUGAGGUAACGGCUCACCAAGGCGACGAUCAGUAGCUGGCUGAGAGGAUGAUCAGCCACAUUGGGACUGAGACACGGCCCAAACUCCUACGGGAGGCAGCAGUGGGGAAUAUUGGACAAUGGGCGAAAGCCUGAUCCAGCCAUGCCGCGUGAGUGAUGAAGGCCCUAGGGUUGUAAAGCUCUUUUGUGCGGGAAGAUAAUGACGGUACCGCAAGAAUAAGCCCC
rnacentral:rRNA from 1 species